AUCCAGGUGACGAGUGCCAAAUAAGACGAAAUGUUUGUCUUGGAU
rnacentral:hammerhead_ribozyme from 1 species